rnacentral:rRNA from 1 species
UACAGAGGUCUCAAGCGUUGUUCGGAUUCAUUGGGCGUAAAGGGCGCGUAGGCGGCCAUGCGUGUCUUCCGUGAAAUCCCUCGGCUUAACUGAGGACGUGCGGAAGAAACUGCAAGGCUCGAGUCCGGGAGAGGGGGGUGGAAUUCCCAGUGUAGCGGUGAAAUGCGUAGAUAUUGGGAGGAACACCGGUGGCGAAGGCGGCCCCCUGGACCGGUACUGACGCUGAGGCGCGAAAGCGUGGGUAGCGAACAGG